CUUCUCAACAAAAUCAAAACUAGAUAAAUGUUCAGAUAGAAUAGACUGUACACUAAGAAAUGAAUAAAUAUAUUUUUUCAUAGAUACCCCCACACCAAUACAUAGAUUUCAUUUUUUUGUUAUCCAUGUUACCACAGAAACCCCUAAUUCCCCAAAAAAAAAAAUUUAAUUUCUGAACUAAAAUUACUUACAACCUGAAUUUUGGGGAUGGUAUUCUAUAGAGGGUGAAUUUCAAUAGCUAUUAACCUUCUCCGGACGAUGCAGAACAUUUUACAAAAAACUGCGUUAAAAUUGGCUAAGCCGUUCUCACGUGAUGCGAUGACCAAGGAAAAUAGGGAUUCAUUUUUAUGUAUAUAGAUGUAUUAUAUAAAUACCUAUUUUUUUAUACUAAUAUUUUAAACCUUUUUCAUUUUUUUCAUUUAAAGGAAACCUAAAUGUAUUGUUUCGAUACCAUAAUCCAUACAUUUUUAAGUACCUAAACAAUAAAAGACAAAAUGUAUGUACACUAAUUAUUAAGAACUGAUUUUUUUUUAUUUGAAAUAUUAGCAUCUGAUAAUUUACAGUUCACAAAUAAGGUUAUAUCGUUUACAUGCACAUUUUCAGUCUUAAAAGAGCUGUUCUAGGAUAAUGGGGUCGGGUGCAACUACUGUUAUAGGUAAUUUAAUGUAAGUAUACCUGUGAGUAACGAUAAAUCAUUGCUAACGAAAAUCGAUUCUGAGCGGAAUUCAGUCGAUGGUGAUGCUUUAGCAACAAUAUAUGUCAUAUGGUUAAAUAAUUAAAUAGGCAUUAGG